GACGAGUGGCGGACGGGUGAGUAAUGUCUGGGAAACUGCCUGAUGGAGGGGGAUAACUACUGGAAACGGUAGCUAAUACCGCAUAAUGUCGCAAGACCAAAGAGGGGGACCUUCGGGCCUCUUGCCAUCGGAUGUGCCCAGAUGGGAUUAGCUAGUAGGUGGGGUAACGGCUCACCUAGGCGACGAUCCCUAGCUGGUCUGAGAGGAAGGUCCCCCACAUUGGAACUGAGACACGGUCCAAACUCCUACGGGAGGCAGCAUG
rnacentral:rRNA from 1 species